AUACUUCUCUCCUCUAUUUUGUCCUUUUGCUUAGUUUUUAGUUUUUCUAUUUUCGAAGUGCGAUGAUCCGUUUUAGACAUUUAGAACAAAGUCCAGGUCCAAUUAAGCCCAUCGUUUCUUGCCAAGCUUAGCCCAUCCCAAUCCGACACCCCCCCCUCUCUCUUCCCGGACUCUAUGACCGUCAAAUUCUCAGGCCACAACACAAGGACAAAACGGGAACUUGGGGAACCCCAUCCAUCCAGACCAUCUCUUAUUUCUUUCGCUUCUUCUUGUUGGCUUCGUCGACCUUGUACUGUACUGGUUAGUUUAGUUGAGAGAAAAAGAAAUGGUGGGAGUUGCUCCAGAAUCAGAUGAUGGAAGUAGGAGACGUUUACCACAGUGGAUGCUGGGCAUAUCUUCUGCUGGCCAGGUAAGGAAGCCUAGUAAUGGUAAAGAGGAAGGACCUGCCUCUUAUGAAACUGAAACAUUGGGAGAAAACUCACACGUUCUUGUAAAAUGUGAGACAAAGAGAAGAAAAAAAAAAUCAACUGAACAAGAAGAAAAGUGUAGUGGACUUGGGAGAAGAAAAGUGCAGGAGUCUGGUGCUCCAGAGAGACAAAAAGCAAAGGAAACACUGGGGGAGAACUCACAUGUUCUUGUAAAAUGUGAGGCAAAAAGAAGAAAAAGAAACUCAAAUGAACAGGAUGCAGAAUGUGAUGGAACUUUUCCUGAGAAGAAUUGUAAUGGACAUGGGAGAAGAAAAGUUCAGGAAUCUGAUGCUCCGAAGAAGGAAAAAGCAAAGGGUUCCAGCUGUGGAAGUGAUGAAGAACUAGAAGUCCGGACUUGGACUGAUGAUGAUGUUGAACUGACAGUGGAGGAUUUAGUGAUCAUUGCUGAAGAGUAUAUUAGAGCUGAUGGGAAUAUAAAUAAAGAAGAAGAAGCAUCGAACCAAGAAUGUGAAUCAGACAGCAGAUUUCCAGAAAUAGUCUCUUCCGGUAAUGAGUUAGAAGAUUCUGCUGAUGCCCAAAUUUGUAAUCGAAGAUCACUCAUCGCAGAUACAACUACUUUUAAGCCGAACGGGAGUUUGGCAAGUAAAGGAAUUGGCUUAAAUUCAGGUGGAACAGGGGAUCCUGCUCAGGACAUGCUGGAUCUGUUUUUAGGCCCCUUGAUGAAGAAAACCGUCGAGAAGGAGAGUGAGAGUCGAUUUUUGACAGAGGAUGUGACAUUUGCCCAUGAAAUCAUUAGAGAAAGUCAUAGUAAUGUUGUUAGAGAAGGAAUUGCCCCCAUAAUGAAGAAGAAGAGCAGUCUCAAAGACAAGGUGGCAAUGUUUCUUGACUGAAUCAGGUAUCUUAAACUGUUAAUAGUACAAUGAAGUGAGAAGAAGUUUUAGAUGAUACAUAAUACUGAAGAGUGAUCAGAGGCAUCGAUCAGUCUUCUUCGCUUCAUCUCGCCACAGAUGCUGCUCAGCUAGCAGGCUCUUAUGUAUUCUGUGCAAUGGUAAAUAUUAAUCAGCAGCAGGUAUAGAGUUUCCAUGGUCUGAUCUGAUGAUGCGUAGGGUUUGAGCUUGGAGGUUGUAGAAAUUCAAUGUGACGGCAACCGCCAACAUGGGAGAUGGCUUCUUUUCAAAAGGUUUAUUAUCUGCAACCGCCGACGUAUGAAGAUAGUACAAUUUCUUCUUCUUUUUUCUGUUUCAAGGGCUUAUCAUGUUACCCUGUUAAUUAUGUCUUGUGUGAUUUGUGUUUUGUGGUGUCUUUUCCGUGUGUUGACCGAGAUCCGAGAUGUUUACGGCUGUCAUUCUGGUUGGUGUAAAAAGUAAGUAGUGAUUUGAUCUUGAUUCCAUGGCUGGCACCAUAAUUGGCUUAUCUCCUACGUGUUGUUACUAUUUCAUUUCAUUCUUUUUCAUGUGUGAAAAUCUUUUCCCCAA